CUGAGGAGUGUGUCAUGGUCAGGCAAUAAUCGAGACUGCCAUAUGGGACUAAUCUGAUGGGACCCCCGUUGUUGACUGAAACGUCCCGAUGUAGGGCAUGACUGUACUUCCCAACUCCAAGGGCACGGAAGUGUAGCCUGUGGGGCUUUGGAAAAGAACAGAGACGCUCAAGGCCUACUCUGGACCCACUGACUCAGAAUCUACUGGGAUAGGUCCCGGCUUUAAAGACCAGACGUAGUCCUCCUCUGCAGACAUCUCAUCAACGGUUUUUCACGCUGGGUUUUCCCUCAUCUGAGAAAACAGGCCAAGAGAUUUCAGACGUGGUACUUGAAAAUAGGCUGCUAAGACUGAUGUCAAAGAGCACACUGCCUAUGUUUGCUUGUAGACGUUGCAUGGUUUCGGGUCUGACAUUCAAGUGAAAGCCGAGGGAGGAGGCUGCAGUUCCCCGAGAGCGAGCGUAGCGGGGACCCUGCGUCCCUGUCAGCGCACCUUCCCGCUGCGCGAAGGUCCGAAGCGUGUGGGCGGGGCCGCAGGAGUUCUCCCAGGAGGGUGUCCCCGUCGCUGUCCGCAGUCCACCGCCGAGGGGGGGGCGGGGCAACGGCCGGGCAGCGUCUGGGCGGCGGCGCGCGCGCGCGAGGAGAGGAGAGGAGAGGAGCGCGCGGCUGCUGGGCCGCCGUCCUGGGAGGCGUGGGAGGCGUCGGCGAGCCGCGCCUGCCUGCCCAGAGCCGAGCCCGGCGGAGUCCGGCCGCGCUGUGCUGCUCUCUCCCGGGCCGGGCUCGUCCGUUCCCCCGGCGUCCGUGGACGCCGCUCCGCGUCCCCGCUGGGCACAGCAGCCCGGGCCCUCCACAGCCACGGCCGCUAGCCUGAGGAGGCCGUCCUUCAGCUCCCGCUCUUCCUGCUCGCCGGACACGGAGGACCAGGGCGCCUGCGAAGAGGAUUCCAUCUGAGAGAGACGUUGCAUGGUUUCGGGUCUGACAUUCAAGUGAAAGCCGAGGGAGGAGGCUGCAGUUCCCCGAGAGCGAGCGUAGCGGGGACCCUGCGUCCCUGUCAGCGCACCUUCCCGCUGCGCGAAGGUCCGAAGCGUGUGGGCGGGGCCGCAGGAGUUCUCCCAGGAGGGUGUCCCCGUCGCUGUCCGCAGUCCACCGCCGGAGGGGGGGGCGGGGCAACGGCCGGGCAGCGUCUGGGCGGCGGCGCGCGCGCGCGAGGAGAGGAGAGGAGAGGAGCGCGCGGCUGCUGGGCCGCCGUCCUGGGAGGCGUGGGAGGCGUCGGCGAGCCGCGCCUGCCUGCCCAGAGCCGAGCCCGGCGGAGUCCGGCCGCGCUGUGCUGCUCUCUCCCGGGCCGGGCUCGUCCGUUCCCCCGGCGUCCGUGGACGCCGCUCCGCGUCCCCGCUGGGCACAGCAGCCCGGGCCCUCCACAGCCACGGCCGCUAGCCUGAGGAGGCCGUCCUUCAGCUCCCGCUCUUCCUGCUCGCCGGACACGGAGGACCAGGGCGCCUGCGAAGAGGAUUCCAUCUGAGAGAGGUACCUGGGGGGCGUGGGCCUGGGGGCUGGUGGGAGGCGAGCGUGUCCCGAGGAAUAGGCUUGUGCGCCGAGAGGUGCCCGUCAGGUCGCGGGACAGCUGUGCGGCGCGGGGAGCGAGGGGGUCUCUUCGUGCGCUUGAGGCGUUCGUGGAACGGGCGGUGUGUGCCGGGCACGGGGCCAGCCUGGGCGUGCGGUGCCCGGGAGUCGGGCGCUGAAGCGCCACCCGUGGUCUCGGCUUCUUGGAAGGACAGACGCGAAGUCGAUAAGGACACUGGUCUCGAGGCGUUCUGAGGAGUGCGGGUCUCCCUCUUUUCGAGGCUACGUUCCGUUGGGGUUUUCACGAAGCCUGUUGUGGGCCUGAAGCUCAGGCCGGUUCAGGGGAAGUGGCCUGUCGAGGGCCACGUAAUAUUUGUGUGCAGAGGCCAGUGCUUUCCAAAGCCCUUGACUGUGCAGAAGUCUACCUGUUAGGGGUGCAGUGGGGGCUGUCCGGGGAGCGUUGUGAGCACAGGUAUGUGCCCCACACUUGAAAGUCUGGAAAGAAAGCCGUGAGGCUGGAGGGUGCUCCGUUCGUUCCCUCCUUGCACAGAAAGUCUGGAGAGUUGACUUUGGGACAAGUCCUUCCUUUCCUCUGGUCGGUGCGUGUUCGGUGGCCUGGACACUUGGUGAGCAAGACUGACAGGGUGUUUGACGUACUGGACCUCACAGCCUGGUUGGAAAGGACAGACAGGCAGCAACCAAUUACCUAGGAGAUACGUAAAGGCACUUUCGUGUUGAGUGUUGAGAAAUACGGCAUUUUACUGUUAGACUUUGUGACUUAGGCAGUGAUGUUGAAGCUGAGAGCAGAGGCCUAAAAGACAAGGAGGACUUGUGCGGGAGAGUGUUGGGACAGGGCAAGGGAGGAGGAUGGCCUGUCAGAGGAGCUGAAAGAAUGCCCUGGAGACUGGGGCCGCCGCGUAGGGACUGUAGGGUGGGGAAGACAAAACUUUUCCAUUGAGGCUGGCGCUUUCUCUAGGUUUUUGGAGACUAAGCGUGGUGAUUCAGAACGUGGCCUCUGGAGCCAGACUCUGUCAAAUGGGUCCUGGCUCUGCCACCUACGGGCUGUGUGAACUUGGGCAAGUUACUGUGCCAUUCUGUGUGUCAGUUUCCUGAUCUGUAAAACGGGGAUGGUUAUCAUACACACUCCAUAGGUGAGUGUAAAGGUGAGAGGAUAUUUCAUAUCCGUAGAGUACUUAGAGCAGUGUCUGGCCUUAGUAGGCGUUAGUAGUGAUUGA
rnacentral:lncRNA from 1 species